UACGGGGGGGGUAAGCGUUGUUCGGAAUUACUGGGCGUAAAGGGCUCGUAGGCGGCCAACUAAGUCAUACGUGAAAUCCCUCAGCUUAACUGGGGAACUGCGUGUGAUACUGGAUGGCUUGGAUUUGGGAGAGGGAUGCGGAAUCCCAGGUGUAGCGGUGAAAUGCGCAGAUAUCAGGAGGAACACCGGUGGCGAAGGCGGCGACCUGGGUAGAUACUGACGCUGAGACGCGAAAGCGUGGGGAGCGAACAGG
rnacentral:rRNA from 1 species